rnacentral:tRNA from 1 species
GCGGCGGCUGGUCGGGCGGCGGCGUGACGGCGGGCUGGUUCUUCGCGGGCUCGCCGCCCGGCUGGUUCUUCGCGGGCUCGCCGCCC